rnacentral:rRNA from 1 species
ACUCAAAUGAAUUGACGGGGGCCCGCACAAGCAGCGGAGCAUGUGGUUUAAUUCGAAGCAACGCGAAGAACCUUACCAAGGCUUGACAUCCUGCUAAAGUCAUAGAGAUAUGAUGUGCCGCAAGGCGAGCAGAGACAGGUGGUGCAUGGUUGUCGUCAGCUCGUGUCGUGAGAUGUUGGGUUAAGUCCCGCAACGAGCGCAACCCCUACACUCAGUUACCAGCGGGUAAAGCCGGGGACUCUGAGAGGACUGCCGAGGAUAACUCGGAGGAAGGUGGGGACGAUGUCAAAUCAUCAUGCCCCUUAUGUCUUGGGCUACACACGUGCUACAAUGGCCGUAACAGAGGGAUGCGAAGGGGUAACCCGGAGCGGAACCCAAAAAGACGGUCUCAGUUCGGAUUGUGGGCUGCAACCCGCCCACAUGAAGUAGGAGUUGCUAGUAAUCGCGAAUCAGCAUGUCGCGGUGAAUACGUUCCCGGGCCUUGUACACACCGCCCGU